GACGAACGCUGGCGGCGUGCUUAACACAUGCAAGUCGAACGGUAAGGCCCCUUCGGGGGUACACGAGUGGCGAACGGGUGAGUAACACGUGGGUAAUCUGCCCUGCACUUCGGGAUAAGCCUGGGAAACUGGGUCUAAUACCGGAUAUGAACUCCUGCCGCAUGGUGGGGGUUGGAAAGUUUUUCGGUGCAGGAUGAGCCCGCGGCCUAUCAGCUUGUUGGUGGGGUAAUGGCCUACCAAGGCGACGACGGGUAGCCGGCCUGAGAGGGUGAUCGGCCACACUGGGACUGAGACACGGCCCAG
rnacentral:rRNA from 1 species